CAGCUUGGAGUUUAUUGGGCCUAAGCAUCCGUAGCCGGUUUUACAAGUCCUCCGUUAAAUCCAACUGCUUAACAGAUGGGCUGCGGAGGAUACUAUAAGACUAGGAGGCAGGGGAGGCAAGCGGUACUCAGUGGGUAGGGGUAAAAUCCGUUGAUCCAUUGAAGACCACCAGUGGCGAAGGCGGCUUGCCAGAAUGCGCUCGACGGUGAGGGAUGAAAGCUGGGGGAGCAAACCGGAUUAGAUACCCGGGUAGUCCCAGCUGUAAACGAUGCAGACUCGGUGAUGCACUGGCUUCUGGCCAGUGCAGUGCCGCAGGGAAGCCGUUAAGUUUGCCGCCUGGGAAGUACGUACGCAAGUAUGAAACUUAAAGGAAUUGGCGGGGGAGCAC
rnacentral:rRNA from 1 species